GCUCAACUCGAAAUCAGCAUAACACAACUCAGGGGAUACCAACUGUAAUACCCCACUGGUCGCACAGAAUGGAUAAUACCAUAAACCUCAUCCACUAAACUUACUCAACACUAGAGAUGUAAUAAAGAAAGAAUAUAAAGAAAGAAAAAAAUCCGGCAGCACCUCCUUUGAAAACUAGCAUAACAAGGAGGGGAAACAUGAAGCUCAUACAAGGUAUAAAGACAUAUAAUUCACAUAGUAGAACUGUAAUGCAAAAGUGGUAAACCCUAAUUAUGACCCAACUGAAGUAAAACAAAUGGGAUAAGAAACUCAGCCCACCCCAAAAUAAACGCUCAACCAAGAACAAAGCGAUUCACUAGACUUGUCCAACUCUGAUUAUCAACAUUAUUAAAUGGUGGUUCCUUCAUUAAAGGUGUAGUGGCCGUGCUGCUACAUCCCCUUUAUUCCCCAAAGCAGAAAUUAGGUGCCUGCAUCAAACAAUGCAAGAUGUGAGAUAACACAUCUCAGCAAGUAAACAUAACAACAACAAGUAGGCCAUUGUAAAUCAACUGUGCUUACACAACCACGUGUUCAGGACUUCUUUCUUUUCUUUUGAACAGUAAAUUGCAGCAAGUAUACAAGUAACUAAAAACUCAACGCCAAGAGGAAUCACCAUGCACAAGUCCAAAUUAUCCACAUCCACAUAAUAGAUUCAACACCUCUCCCAUGAAUGCACAUGGCUACAAAUGCAAUAAUGACUUCUGCCUCCAUAUCUCUAAGGAUAUGAAGCUGCACCAUACCCCUUCUCGGGCAACAUAUGAUGCUCAAUGUACCGGUACGGUCGGACCAUAAGAUCGCGACGAAACUUCAAUCCAAUGGAUGAUGAGUGCAUUAUGCAUGACAACAUCAUAAGUUCUUCCCAAAUAAAAAUGUGCUAGGCAUUUACUUCCAACCAUUCCACAUAAUAACCACUUGAGUAACAUAAUCAAACCUCAAACUCAACAUAUGAAAUCCAUGAAACAUGAACAUUUUCAAAUGAUGGUACUCAAAAGAAAAAUAUGAAUUUGAACAUGAUAGCACAACAUAAACAAGUUUUACUUGCCUUCACCGAAGUUUGGGCAAAAUCCCUAAGAACGAUCCGGAAGUCCACCACCUGUUUUUGACACCCAACUUAGUGCACCAAAUUCACAUAAAAAACUCAAAGACAACAUCGCACCUACGAGCAGUCUCAACCCCGCCGCGGUAACAAUUCUCCCCUCACUAACCAAACUGCAGCGACGCUGCUUAACAAUUCCAUAACUUAAAAAUUAGGACAGCAGUGGUGUCAAACAAAAACUUCAGAGACAACUACAUAAAAUUUCCCACAAGUUUUGUAUACAACUCAUGAUUAAAUUCUAACAUCUAAUUACCUCUAAACGGUCCACAAAAUAAACCCUGCAAUCUGUUUUUUUCUGAUUUGGGCAGCGACAUACUCGGAUUCAAACAGCGAUAACUUUUAAAAUAUAAUUCCGAUUUGAGCGCAUAAGUACUUAUUGGAAAGAUAAGAAAAAGACCUACAUGAUUCUCAUACUGAUUAAUACUAAUUACUCCCGAAAAAUCCCCAGAAACUGCUAAUACUUUUGCUGUUCAUCACUCUGAAAAUUCUGUUUUUUUUGGACAGCCACAAACCCGGAUUCAAACGAUGAUAACUUUUAAUUUAUAACUCCAAAUUGAGCGCAUAAAUACUCGUUGGAAAGGUAAAACAAAGUUCUACAAGAUCCCCAAAUUGAUCCCCAUUAAUUCUUCACGAAAAACCCUAAAAACUGCUAGAACUUCCGCUGUUCAUCCACCACGUAAAAUUCUGGACAGCCCCCCUCUAUCUAAUCACAAACGCAACGUCUAAACAAUUGAAUCGCAGCGCAAAUGAACAAGGGAUGAACACAAAAAUCACCUUGGGUUCUCCCCCUUUCUUUCCUCCCUUCUUCCCUCCACCAAAACGGUUGGAGAAUCGCACCACGAGACGACGAUCCGAGCGGCAAGGAUUGGCACCUUGGGAGAAGGGGAUUGGGGGGGGGGCGGCUAGGGUUUGGUGGCUGCAAAAAUUGAGAGAGAAGGAGAUGGGCAGGGGGGUGGCGGCCAAGGGGAGGAGGAGAAGUGGGGGGGGGGCGGCUGCACAUGGGGGGAGGGGGUUAGGAGGGAGGCGGCUAGGGUUUGGGAGGGUUAAUGGGCCGAAACACCUGUUGCGGCCCAACUAACCCACGCGACAGCUCCCGACCGCAACGCUAGCGUCAAACCAAAUAAAUUCUACGACCCUAGUUGUGAAUGUUUUCCACAAAAUUCCAAAUCCCCAAAACAACAACCGGAUGAGGAAAAAAAAACAAAAAGAACAACCCCCAACUUCUCUUCUUUGCAAACCGGGUAUCACACUCUACCCCUCUUAAAAAGAAUUCGACCUCGAAUUCUGACGCUUCUAUCGGAAUGACAAAAGAAAAGAUUAGUUAAUCAACAACACUUACCCACAACGAAAAGUUCCGGGUACUUCUGCCGCAUCAGCUCCUCAAGUUCCCACGUAGCCUCACGCUCAGACUGAUCAGUCCAUAAGACCUUGACAUACUUAAUUGAUCUCUUCCUCAACACACGCUCCGAGGAUUCCAAUAUACGCACCGGACGACACUCCAGAGUCAGAUCCUGCUGUACCGCAAUUGGUUCCAUCUCAAUCUGAUGGUCCGGAUCCCGCAAGAAUUUCCUCAACAUAGAGACAUGAAAAACCGGGUGUACCCCUGCCAUGGAAUCCGGCAGCAGCAAGCGAUAAGCCAGGCUGCCCACUCGGCCCAAGAUAGUGAACGGUCCAAUGUAUCUCGGGCUGAGCUUCCCAGAGACACCGAACCGAACAACUCCCUUAGUGGGUGAUACCCUGAGAAGGACUUGGUCACCCACAGCAAAUUCCAGAUCCCGCCUCCUCACAUCAGCAUAACUCUUCUGACGACUCUGAGCUGCCAAAAUAUUCUGACGAAUUUCCCGAACCUUUUCAGAAGUUUGCUGAACCCAAUCAGGACCAACCAGGGAUCUCUCUCCCAAAGUCUCCCAGCACAGAGGAGAGAUACACCGCCUGCCAUACAAAGCCUCAAAUGGUGCCAUCUUGAUGCUAGCUUGGUAGCUGUUGUUAUACGCAAACUCUGCCAGAGCAAGAUGAUCCUCCCAGCUACCCUUCCAUGACAGAACACAAGCACGCAACAUAUCCUCCAUGGUUUGGAUUGUUCGCUCUGACUGACCAUCCGUCUGAGGAUGAAAAGCGACACUAAGCGAAAGCUUGGUGCCCAAUGCACUAUGGAGACUCUCCCAGAAUUUGGAUACAAAUUUGGAGUCUCGAUCAGAAACAAUAGACUUAGGUACCCCGUGAAGCCUGACAACUUCCUUCAUAUACAAGGGAACCAAAUCUGAAGCUGAAUUUGUGGUCUUCAUGGGAAUAAAAUGUGCAUACUUAGUCAAGCGAUCCACUACCACCCAAAUAGCAUCCCUGCCACGAGGGGAACGAGGUAGACCCACCACAAAAUCCAUGGUGAUAUGCUCCCAUUUCCACUCUGGAAUUUCCAAUGGCUUCAGCAAACCUGCAGGCCGCUUAUGUUCGGCCUUCACGCGCUGACAUACUUCACAGGCGGCCACAUACUUAGAAAUGUCAACCUUCAUCCGCUUCCACCAGAAGUUUUGCUUCAAAUCUCGGUACAUUUUGGUUUCGCCAGGAUGGACGGUGUAAGGCAUUUUAUGAGCUUCUCGCAGGAUAUCCAGCUUCACCUCUGAUUUCUGAGGCACACAAAGACGGCCCCUGAAACGAACCAAACCAUUCUCAUCAAUGGUGAACUCCCGCGGUUUACCAUCACCAACCCUCUUUCGAGCUUCCUGCAAAAGACGAUCCUGCAGCUGAGCCGCACGCACUCUCUCCAUAAGAGAGGAUUGAAUAAGCAUCUGCGUCUCCUCGCUAGCGGUGCCGACAUAACACAAAGCGAUCCCCAAACGGUCCAGAUCAGCGACCAACGGCAAGGCCACCUUUGGAACCCCAGACCUGCUAAGGGCAUCCGCCACCACAUUAGCCUUCCCCGGGUGAUAAUGAAUGGACAAAUCAUAGUCUUUAAUCAAUUCUAGCCACCGACGUUGCCUCAAAUUCAGCUCCUUCUGAGUAAAAAUAUACUUGAGACUUUUGUGAUCGGUGAAAAUGUCACAAGCCUCGCCAUAAAGGUAAUGCCUCCACGACUUUAGAGCAAAAACCACCGCAGCCAAUUCCAGAUCAUGAGUUGGAUAAUUCCCCUCAUGCUUCCUCAACUGCCUUGAACCAUAAGCAAUCACUCUGCCUUCCUGCAUCAGCACACAGCCAAGACCGAUACGCGAAGCAUCCGUAUAAACUGUGAAACGCUUACCGCUCUCAGGCAAAGCUAGGAUAGGGGCGUCCACCAACUUGCUCUUCAAUGACUGAUAACUGACCUCACAUUCGCCGGACCAGACGAAGGGAACACCCUUCUCCAAGAGCCUAGUCAAAGGCUUAGCAAUGCUGGAAAAAUUUGGUAUGAAGCGCCGAUAAUACCCAGCAAGCCCCAAGAAACUUCGGAUUUCAGAGACACUAGAAGGUCUCUUCCACUCCACCACAGCCGCAACAUUCUUGGGAUCAACCGCAAUACCCUGCUGAUUAAUCACGUGCCCCAGGAAAGCCCCUUCGGAAAGCCAAAAGGCACACUUCUUCAACUUGCCAUAGAAUUGAUUCUUUCUUAGGGCACCCAGAACGAGACGGAGAUGCUGUUCAUGCUCGGCCUCGGUCUUUGAAUAAAUCAAAAUAUCGUCCAGGAAUACGACCACAAAAUCGUCCAGGAAUUCAUGCAGCAUCCUAUUCAUUGCUUCCAUAAAGGCAGCAGGGGCAUUAGUUAAGCCAAAAGACAUGACUAUGAACUCAUAAUGCCCAUACCUGGUGCAGAAGGCAGUCUUCUCAAUAUCCUCCUCACGAAUCCUCAAUUGAUGAUAACUCGAGUUCAAAUCAAUUUUGGAGAACACCUGGGCACCCCUCAACUGUUCAAAGAGGACCACAAUUCGGGGAAGCAGAUAUUUAUUCUUGAUUGUCACUUGAUUCAAAGCGCGAUAAUCCACACACAGCCGCUUGCUUUUAUCCUUCUUCUCAACAAACAAUACUGGGGAAGCCCAUGGAGACCUGCUAGGCCUAAUGAAGCCCUUAGCCAGCAGAUCAUCCAAUUGCCGCUUUAAUUCAAUCUGCUCCUUUGGAGCCAUUCGAUACGGGGCCUUAUGAAUAGGCUGCGUACCCGGGAUCAGCUUAAUCUCAAAAUCUGCAUCGCGCUUCGGAGGAAUGCCUGGAAGCUCUGCCAGAAACACGUCAGCAAAGUCACACACCACCCGGAUGUCCUGCACCCGCAAGGCAGCCUCACCCUCCACCACCAUAGAGAAAAAGAUCCCCGACUUCCUUGACCGGCGAUCAGGAAGCAAUUGCGCCAACAAGGAUAAUGUGAACUUCGGGGAACUUCCCAAGAAUACCACCUCCUUACCCGACGGCGCCUGCAAUAACACUGUCUUCCAGAAGCAGGAUAUAACUGCGCGAUACUGGGAUAACCAAUCCAUACCCAAGAUAACAUCGAAUGCCCCCAAGGAAAUCACCACCAGAUUGGCCGAAAAAACCUCAUCAGCAAGAAUGACGGAACACCCCCGACAAACUGAACAGCUACUAAUGGAGCCAUUAGCGGAACUGACCAAAAUUGGGUGACCCAACCUCUGUACCGAAAGACCACCCGCGACACAAAAUCCUCCGAAACAAACGAAUAGCUAGCGCCAGAGUCAAAAAGAGCAUGGGCUGCAAAUGAAUCAACUGAAAUCGUACCUGUCACCACGUCUCCUUGCUCCCUGCCAUCCGUAGCGGGUAGCACAUAAGCUCCAGAAAUACCCGCAGAAGAGGAAGCUCCCGGAGUGAAAUUAACAGAAGAACCCCACUGAGCCACCGGAGGAGGCUGGCGCGGAGCUCCAAACUGAGUCAGCACAGGUGUAGACGGUGCAGGAGUAGGCACAGCCUGAUACUGAGGAAAACCUUGCAUCGGCACGAACUGAGAAGUCCCAGGCACAAAAAGCUGUUGUGGAGGAAGAGGAACUGAAAACUGCUGCUCAGCACUCGACAUCAUAUUGAUAGUGCCCUGAGAAGAGAAGGAAGUUACUGGCUCCCAUCUGAGCUUCCCAUUGGGAUUCCUCCUACACACCACAUCUUUGUGGUCCUGACUGCAGAUAGAACACCUGCCAUUCCACUGGCACUCUGCACGGCGAUGCGCAUCUCCACAGCGGAAACACACCAGCCCCAGCCCGGGCUUAGGAACGGCCCGAAACCUCUGAGUACUUCCUCCCGAAGUACUAGAGUCAGAAGAUUUGCCACGGUAAGGAUGGUGGCGCUGAUGCUGAGACUUGCCCCUCUUAUGAGCUGGACCUCCAGUGUUGCCCCUCCUCGUGUCCUGGCUACGAGGCUGAUCAACACCCGAAGACUUCUGCGACUCCAUGGUGUACUAGUGUUGCAUCUCCACACCCAGCACCUGCUCCACCGUGGUACGGAAGUCCACCAACGGAAAGGCCCCCAGUGCAUGCCUGAUAGAAGGCUUCAGACCCUGACGGAAUUGGCUCGUCUUCUCCAUCUCAUUAUAAGCCACAUGAGGGACAAAGCAGACCAUCUUGUUGAAGCCCACCUCAUACUCUGUGACAGACUUCUUCUCCUGCUUAUAGGACUACAAGUCAAUCUUCAUUUUCUCCAGAAAGGUGACCGGGUAGAAUCUCCUUUCGAACUGCCUGAUGAAAACAUCCCAUGAUAUGACUCCUGGUGAGGAGGAGUGCGCUGCCUGCACGCCUCUCCACCAAAUUUGCACCUCUCCCUUCAGCAGCUGAGUGCCAAAGCGAACCCGAUCUCCAUAUACAAUCUCGAAGACAUUCAUCUUAUCCUCCACCUCCAGCACCCUGAGCAGCACCCACAGGGGCGACAGGAAUGGCUUGCCUCAGAAGGGCCAACUCCUGCUGCAUGGCCUGCAUCGCGGCUAACAUUGCCGCCGGACUCAUCGAGUCCCCACUAGGAGCUUGCGGACUACCCCGAGCUCUACGAGGCGGCAUAGCUGCAGCCACAGGGAUGAGUACAAUAAGUAAAUGAGAUAAGCAUAGCAUCUCUCUAGAUAAUGUCAAAACUAGCACAGACAAUAACAUAAUCAUAUCAAUAGCAAGACAGAAAACCCAUCCUACAUGUGCAGUGUGCCAAUUUAUUACUACUCCACUUGCUAGGACCUAUAGCCUAUUCCUCUGAUACCAACUGUAACACCCCACUGGUCGCACAGAAUGGAUAAUACCAUAAACCUCAUCCACUAAACUUACUCAACACUAGAGAUGUAAUAAAGAAAGAAUAUAAAGAAAGAAAAAAAAAAUCCGGCAGCACCUCCUUUGAAAACUAGCAUAACAAGGAGGGGAAACAUGAAGCUCAUACAAGGUAUAAAGACAUAUAAUUCACAUAGUAGAACUGUAAUGCAAAAGUGGUAAAACCUAAUUAUGGCCCAACUGAAGUAAAACAAAUGGGAUAAGAAACUCAGCCCACCCCAAAAUAAACGCUCAACCAAGAACAAAGCGAUUCACUAGACUUGUCCAACUCUGAUUAUCAACAUUAUUAAAUGGUGGUUCCUUUAUUAAAGGUGUAGUGGCCGUGCUGCUACAUCCCCUUUAUUCCCCAAAGCAGAAAUUAGGUGCCUGCAUCAAACAAUGCAAGAUGUGAGAUAACACAUCUCAGCAAGUAAACAUAACAACAACAAGUAGGCCAUUGUAAAUCAACUGUGCUUACACAACCACGUGUUCAGGACUUCUUUCUUUUCUUUUGAACAGUAAAUUGCAGCAAGUAUACAAGUAACUAAAAACUCAACGCCAAGAUGAAUCACCAUGCACAAGUCCAAAUUAUCCAUAUCCACAUAAUAGAUUCAACACCUCUCCCAUGAAUGCACAUGGCUACAAAUGCAAUAAUGACUUCUGCCUCCAUAUCUCUAAGGAUAUGAAGCUGCACCAUACCCCUUCUCGGGCAACAUAUGAUGCUCAAUGUACCGGUAUGGUCGGACCAUAAGAUCGCGACGAAACUUCAAUGCAAUGGAUGAUGAGUGCAUUAUGCAUGACAACAUCAUAAGUUCUUCCCAAAUAAAAAUGUGCUAGGCAUUUACUUCCAACCAUUCCACAUAAUAACCACUUGAGUAACAUAAUCAAACCUCAAACUCAACAUAUGAAAUCCAUGAAACAUGAACAUUUUCAAAUGAUGGUACUCAAAAGAAAAAUAUGAAUUUGAACAUGAUAGCACAAUAUAAACAAGUAUAAGACUCCUCAUCUGACAGACGGAAUAACCAUCACAGUUUUACUUGCCUUCACCGAAGUUUGGGCAAAAUCACUAAGAACGAUCCGGAAGUCCACCACCUGUUUUUGACACCCAACUUAGUGCACCAAAUUCACAUAAAAAACUCAAAGACAACACCGCACCUACGCGCAGUCUCAACCCCGUCGCGGUAACAAUUCUCCCCUCACUAACCAAACUGCAGCGGCGCUGCUUAACAAUUCCAUAACUUAAAAAUUAGGACAGCAGUGGUGUCAAACAAAAACUUCAGAGACAACUACAUAAAAUUUCCCACAAGUUUUGUAUACAACUCAUGAUUAAAUUCUAAAAUCUAAUUACCUCUAAACGGUCCACAAAAUAAACCCUGCAAUCUGUUCUUUUCUGAUUUGGGCAGCGACAUACUCGGAUUCAAACAGCGAUAACUUUUAAAAUAUAAUUCCGAUUUGAGCGCAUAAGUACUUAUUGGAAAGAUAAGAAAAAGCCCUACAUGAUUCUCAUACUGAUUAACACUAAUUACUCCCAAAAAAUCCCCAGAAACGGCUAAUACUUUUGCUGUUCAUCACUCUGAAAAUUCUGUUUUUUUGGACAGCCACACACCCGGAUUCAAACGAUGAUAACUUUUAAUUUAUAACUCCAAAUUGAGCGCAUAAAUACUCGUUGGAAAGGUAAAACAAAGUUCUACAAGAUCCCCAAAUUGAUCCCCAUUAAUUCUUCACGAAAAACCUUAAAAACUGCUAGAACUUCCGCUGUUCAUCCACCACGUAAAAUUCUGGACAGCCCCCCCUCUAUCUAAUCACAAACGCAACAUCUAAACAAUUGAAUCGCAGCGCAAAUGAACAAGGGAUGAACACAAAAAUCACCUUGGGUUCUCCCCCUUUCUUUCCUCCCUUCUUCCCUCCACCAAAACGGUUGGAGAAUCGCACCACGAGACGACGAUCCGAGCGGCAAGGAUUGGCACCUUGGGAGAAGGGGAUUGAGGGGGGGGGUGGCUAGGGUUUGGUGGCUGCAAAAAAUGAGAGAGAAGGAGAUGGGCAGGGGGGUGGCGGCCAAGGGGAGGAGGAGA
rnacentral:lncRNA from 1 species